UUUAUAUUUUAGUAUUAAUUUCAAGUUUAGUUGUAAUUGCGGGUAGGCUUAACUUGCCAGUGAGCAAAUCUUUAUAUUACAAUAAUGAACAAUAUAAUAAAAUAAAUAAACAACUUGCUUUGAGUUGUGGGUGCUGUGAUGAUAAUGUGAAGAUCCACGAUGCGAUGUGGAGCAGCUGGUGCGAUGUGAAGCAGCUGGACCGAUGUGGAGCCGGAGCAUCGUGGAGCAGCUGGUGCGAUGUGGAGCAGCUGGACCGAUGUGGAGCAGCUGGAACAAUGUGGAGCCGGAGCAUCGUGGAGCAGCUGGUGCGAUGUGGAGCAGCUGGACCGAUGUGGAGCAGCUGGAACAAUGUGGAGCCGGAGCAUCGUGGAGCAAUGUGAAGCAGCUGGUGUGAUGUGGUCAAUGUUUGUAGGGCUUGAAUAAGACAACACUGUGAUCCGGUGUCUAUCACAGCUCUACAUUUCAGACCAUACAAUUCUAUAUCCAGAUAGGCUUGAUAUUGUCCAUGGUUAUCCUUAGGGACCUGUGGAGCUUCAUCAUCUAACAAAUCAUCUAUGACAUCCUCUCGGAAAAUGGUGUAACUUUCGAGAAUAAUGGGUGAAGAUAUUGGAUUUAAAUUGGAGUUGUCUUUAUUUUUGAAUUCAUUUGUAAAGACCAAUUCAGUAUGUCUCGCCUUCCUGUUAUUAACACUUGGAUGAGGAACUCUAUCAGCUUCGGGAGGCAGAACCCGCAAACCAUCACUACUAGUAGCCUCGUGGGGCAGAACCCGCAAACUGUCACUACUAGCUGACGUAAUACAAGCAGGCAGAUUUUUCUCUUCUUCAUGACUGGAUUUACCGCUGUCACGUGGUUGGGAGCAGUGUGAAUUUUUUCCGCCAGACUGCAGCACCUCACGGUCGGUUACUCCUACGAUCGGAAUAACUUUUUUUCUGACUGUCUCGUUUUUAUGAUGAUUGAUGCCAGAGACAGUCGAAACUGGUUGUCAAUUAUUGUUAUUACGACGCUGAGAAUUAUUUCCCUUCUGAUUAUUAGAAUGGAACUGCUUUUUGUUGGACUGAGAUUGUUGGUUGGGCGACGAACUGGUUGUUGAUAAAGAUGGCUGCGGUUGAGUGACAUCAUCGCUUCUGUUUAUGUUUUGUUCUGGAGUUGUAGUUGAGUCGACUGAUUUAUUUGGAAUAAAUGAACUUCCCUCAUUAUAAUUUCUCCGAUGAUUAUCUCCAAAUCCACGGCUAUUAUUUUGAGGUCGACUCGGUUGACUGCCUCGAUUAUAAUUACGAUGAGGAGUUUCAACUUCAUUCACGACAACACCUAACCUCUCAUCUUUCUGAUGGUUGUUUUGAAAUUCCGUGAACCAAAUUUAUCGUCUACACUCUGUACUCGACUCAAACAAGCCUCAAACUUGUCAUAGGAUUCAAAACUUUGCGAGCUUAAUGCCGUCUGAAUGGAAUAAGCAGUGGUCUUGAAAACUUCAAGUAUGGUUUCGAUCGUCCCAGGUGGUAGAUAUGGCAGCCCCUGCGGCUGUUUGGUCUCCAACUCAGCAGCAACGACAUCAUUGGAAGACGUUUGACGAUCUACCUCGCGCCGAUCGACGUUGGCGAUUGGUGAUGAUUGCACCGAAUUAAGUGUUGGCUGACUUUCCUCUAGCUGAGUCGAUGACAAACGCUCUCGAAUGCCGCGCUCAAAGUCAACUGAAGUCGCGCUGGUUGCCGGUUUUGGAGAAGCUUCGGGUGAGACAGGAUCUGCCGGUGUAAACAAUGUGGUAGACCCAUCCAGUUCCGUGGCGGGGUUUGCCAUGAUUCUCCCAAAAAGUGAAGUGUAGACGAAAUCCAAUAAGUGAAAAAUAGUGAGUGAAUGAUAGUGGUGCGCGCAAAUUGGAAUAACAGAAUCAGGUCAGUGCAAAUUAUCUUGUAGUUCUGAAGAAUUAAUACCGCUGACUAAUUCCCACAACUUCAAAGCAAGACAAAAUCGCGACAAUAAUACGUUUUAGAAUACAAUAAUACUCUACAAUAUAAUAUACCGUAAUGAUCAACAUAAAAUUCAACACAAUCAAAAUAAUAUCCAGUGUAUGAACAAUCACAAAUUAAUAAAUAAAUCGACUACCUCAAGCUUGUUCAUUUCAGGGAUUAAUACAUCAGAGUAACACCGUGUAGCCCCCAUUAGUGCAACAAAAAAUACCUGCUCAAUUCGAUCAAUAAUUAUUAAGAAAUAAAAUUGAACAACAAUAUUGAACAGAGUAUUGAUGGCUAGGCGACCCACGACUCCACUGAAAAGAAAUAUUUAUAUUUCUGCUCCCUCUCAAGCGUAGAUAAGUCGAUCUCUGAAAUAAAUUUAUGAUUAUUAAGAUGAAAUAAGCUCCCUCUCCUUCACCGUCUUGUGUUCGGGCGCCAAUCUUGUGGAUUCGCAAGAGCCUCUGGACGCUUAACACCUGUAAUUCGGAUAAAAAAUCAGCCGGCAGAGCUGCCUACACCCGUCCAGAAUAUCCUACAAUUCCACAAGAAAUAAUAUUUCCGCCGUACUCUGAUAUAAACUGCUUGAGAAUCAGGCGUGAUAGCCUACCAAUAUCUCCAGGCAAUUCAAACCCGAGCACAGCGAAUGUAAUUUAUUUCUUAUGAAUAACAAGUAAAUUCAAUAUUGAUAUUCCAAUACCUGAAAUAAUUCCUACAGAGGAAAACCAAUAUGGUAAUUAUAGACCGAACUGAGCAGGAUCUAAUUAGAGAAAUUACUGAAACUGGUUAACAAUUAUGCAAAUUUAUUGAUGAAUUAUAAUCGUUAAGAAUCAAAUAAUAAUAAUUAAUUAAAUAAUUGACAAAUUGGAAUAAUAGAGUUUUCAAAAUUUGGUAAUAAAUGUUCUUGAUAUGAGAUAAUAAUAUGAAUGUUCUUGGUAAUAUAGUGCAAUUAGGAUUUUAAUAGGGGUUACACGGUAUUAUAGGAGGAUAUAGUCCUGCACUCUUUCACAAUAAUUAAUUGAUAGAAAAUUGUAGCUUUCUCAAUUCACUGAUUGGAUAGAAUAAGUAUUUUUCGCUCACCAACUCGAUCGUGGGGCCCCAAUUCACUUAAUAAUUUUAUUUCACUUGAAGAUCUGGCGUGGAAUGGCGUCACCCAGGAUUUAGUUUCACAAUUCUUCCUCAGGAAUAAGCUUAUACAAAUUGAACUUGCCUUCCAAUUUAAUUUAAGAGCACAAGACUACAGAGGAGCUACACAUUUAACAC